GUUUUUAUAGUUGAAUACAACGGUAAUUUUUCAGAUUACAAGUCUAGGUUGAAGUCCCAGUGAGAAUU
rnacentral:tRNA from 1 species